rnacentral:tRNA from 1 species
GCAACUUUAGUUUAAAAAAAAUUGUAGUUUGUCUCACUAUAGAUAGCUCUGGCUAAGUUGCU